rnacentral:rRNA from 1 species
GAUGAACGCUGGCGGCGUGCUUAAUACAUGCAAGUCGAACGAAGCACUUUUGACAGAUCCCUUCGGGGUGAAGAUGAUUGUGACUUAGUGGCGGACGGGUGAGUAACGCGUGGGGAACCUGCCUCGUGCUGGGGGAUAACAGUUAGAAAUGACUGCUAAUACCGCAUAAGCGCACAGUAAGGCAUCUUACAGUGUGAAAAGAUUUAUCGGCAUGAGAUGGACCCGCGUCUGAUUAGGUAGUUGGCGGGGUAACGGCCCACCAAGCCCGCGAUCAGUAGCCGACUUGAGAGAGUGAUCGGCCACAUUGGGACUGAGACACGGCCCAG